AUGUUUGAUGAACACACAAAGGCCCACGCUGAACAAAGUUUUCAUUGUCGUGCUUACUCUUUAAUUUAUUUUAUUAUUUUUCUAAAAAAUCCCAUAUCUCUCUGUUUCUACUAUGUCUUCUCAUGUCUCUCGGUCAUUCUCCUAUCAUAUCUCAAAUCUCUCAAUAUGGUUUUCCUCUUUAUCUCAUGUACACAAUUAGUUUUGUUCGGCUCUUUCAAAAAUUCUUGGGAAACUGAAAUCCCUUUUCCUUUUUUUUGUUAA